rnacentral:rRNA from 1 species
UACGUAGGGGGCAAGCGUUGUCCGGAUUUACUGGGCGUAAAGCGCGUGUAGGCGGCUACGCAGGUCCGUUGUGAAAACUGGAGGCUCAACCUCCAGACGUCGACGGAAACCGUGUGGCUAGAGUCCGGAAGAGGAGAGUGGAAUUCCUGGUGUAGCGGUGAAAUGCGCAGAUAUCAGGAAGAACACCAAUGGCGAAGGCAGCUCUCUGGGACGUUACUGACGCUGAGACGCGAAAGCGUGGGGAGCGAACAGG